rnacentral:rRNA from 1 species
CAGUAGAGGUGGGCGGAAUUCGUGGUGUAGCGGUGAAAUGCUUAGAUAUCACGAAGAACUCCGAUUGCGAAGGCAGCUCACUGGACUGCAACUGACACUGAUGCUCGAAAGUGUGGGUAUCAAACAGGAUUAGAUACCCUGGUAGUCCACACAGUAAACGAUGAAUACUCGCUGUUUGCGAUAUACGGUAAGCGGCCAAGCGAAAGCGUUAAGUAUUCCACCUGGGGAGUACGCCGGCAACGGUGAAACUCAAAGGAAUUGACGGGGGCCCGCACAAGCGGAGGAACAUGUGGUUUAAUUCGAUGAUACGCGAGGAACCUUACCCGGGCUUAAAUUACAUUUGAAUAAUCUGGAAACAGGUUAGCCGUAAGGCAAAUGUGAAGGUGCUGCAUGGUUGUCGUCAGCUCGUGCCGUGAGGUGUCGGCUUAAGUGCCAUAACGAGCGCAACCCUUAUCUUCAGUUACUAACAGGUCAUGCUGAGGACUCUGGAGAGACUGCCGUCGUAAGAUGUGAGGAAGGUGGGGAUGACGUCAAAUCAGCACGGCCCUUACGUCCGGGGCUACACACGUGUUACAAUGGGGGGUACAGAAGGCAGCUACCUGGUGACAGGAUGCUAAUCCCAAAAACCUCUCUCAGUUCGGAUCGAAGUCUGCAACCCGACUUCGUGAAGCUGGAUUCGCUAGUAAUCGCGCAUCAGCCAUGGCGCGGUGAAUACGUUCCCGGGCCUUGUACACACCGCCCGUCAAGCCAUGAAAGCCGGGGGUACCUGAAGUACGUAACCGCAAGGAGCGUCCUAGGGUAAAACUGGUAAUUGGGGCUAAGUCGUAACAAGGUAGCCGUACCGGAAGGUGCGGCUG